GAUGAACGCUGGCGGCGUGCCUAAUACAUGCAAGUCGAGCGAACAGACGAGGAGCUUGCUCCUCUGACGUUAGCGGCGGACGGGUGAGUAACACGUGGAUAACCUACCUAUAAGACUGGGAUAACUUCGGGAAACCGGAGCUAAUACCGGAUAAUAUAUUGAACCGCAUGGUUCAAUAGUGAAAGACGGUUUUGCUGUCACUUAUAGAUGGAUCCGCGCCGCAUUAGCUAGUUGGUAAGGUAACGGCUUACCAAGGCAACGAUGCGUAGCCGACCUGAGAGGGUGGUCGGCCACACUAGAACUGAGACACGGUCCAGACUCCUACGGGAGGCAGCAGUAGGGAAUCUUCCGCAAUGGGCGAAAGCCUGACGGAGCAACGCCGCGUGAGUGAUGAAGGUCUUCGGAUCGUAAAACUCUGUUAUUAGGGAAGAACAAAUGUGUAAGUAACUAUGCACGUCUUGACGGUACCUAAUCAGAAAGCCACGGCUAACUACGUG
rnacentral:rRNA from 1 species